GCUGGAGCCAGUGUGGCCAGAUAACUCGAGUGUAGAGAAAUGGGUCAUGGAUGGUCUGAACCAGGGAGCCUGGUGCCCAGGAGAGAGGGAGGGCCCGUAAGGGAUGUAACUGGGGAGAAGGAACGGUAUAUUAGGUUUUUAUUCAGGUGAAGAUUCUACAGAGCCCAGCCAUGGGAGCAGGAGUCUUGGUUGGAGAUAAAUCCUUGGGAAUUUGUUUCCAAAUAUCACAGCUGACAUGGGGGGGGGGGACUCCAAAGGGAGGAGCAUGUGAGUGAGUCUGCUGUGAACCUGCUGUGAGUGCCGGGGAGAGACACACACGGGGAAGGACGCAGCAGAGAAGCAGGGAGGCAGCAGCAAGCGUUCCGAAAGGAAGGAGAGCGUCAUGGCAACAGGACGUGUCACAGAAGCACUUGCCGCAGAAGGGUGGGGGCAAAUGGAAAGGGGCGUUAGAAGUCAUUAAUCAAUCCUGGCAAGUUGCUCCAUGACCAGCGAAGGGCAGAAUCAGACCAUAGGAUACAGAAAGACAGAGAAAAAUUGCGUGAACAGCUGCGGGUGAGCUGAGGUGGCGAUUGCCUGUGCAGAGAAGAGGAAGAUGGCAACUUUCAUCAGACUAGAAAUGAUGCGGUUUCAUGUUCACAUACCGAUCUCUGCAGACACAUGGAGCCCACCAGCAAAACCUUCGGAAAUAAAGGCUAAAAUAACACUAUGAUUUUUUAAUUAUUGUUUUGGAAUGCUAUCCACAAUAAAUAAACUAGAUUAAAACAAAAUGA